AUUGAACGCUGGCGGCAGGCCUAACACAUGCAAGUCGAGCGCGCGGCGGACGGGGGAGUAAUGUAUGGGGAUCUUCCCGACAGAGGGGGAUAACUCCUGUAAACGCUGGCUAUUAUCGCAUACUAUCGGAUGAACCCCUAUGGGAUUAGCUAGUAGGUGGGGUAAAGGCUCACCUAGGCGACGAUCUCUAGCUGGUCUGAGAGGAUGAUCAGCCACACUGGAACUGAGACACGGCCCAGACUCCGACGGGAGGCAGCAGUGGGGAAGAUUGCACAAUGGGCGAAAGCCUGAUGCAGCCAUGCCGCGUGUAGGAAGAAGGCCUUAGGGUUGUAAAGUACUUUCAGCGGGGAGGCGUUACCCGCAGAAGAAGCACCGGCUAACUCCGUGCCAGCAGCCGCGGUAAUUC
rnacentral:rRNA from 1 species